CGAAUGGGAGCUUGCUUUCGUUCGGUUAGCGGCGGACGGGUGAGUAACACGUGGGCAACCUGCCCGUAAGACCGGGAUAACUUCGGGAAACCGGAGCUAAUACCGGAUAACACCGAAGAUCGCAUGAUCUUUGGUUGAAAGGCGGCUUUGGCUGUCACUUACGGAUGGGCCCGCGGCGCAUUAGCUAGUUGGUGAGGUAACGGCUCACCAAGGCGACGAUGCGUAGCCGACCUGAGAGGGUGAUCGGCCACACUGGGACUGAGACACGGCCCAGACUCCUACGGGAGGCAGCAGUAGAGAAUCUUCCGCAAUGGACGAAAGUCUGACGGAGCAACGCCGCGUGAGCGAAGAAGGUCCUCGGAUUGUAAAGCUCUGUUGUUAGGGAAGAACAAGUACCGUUCGAAGAGGGCGGUACCGUGACGGUACCUAACGAGAAAGCCACGGCUAACUACGUGCCAGCAGCCGCGGUAAUACGUAGGUGGCAAGCGUUGUCCGGAAUUAUUGGGCGUAAAGCGCGCGCAGGCGGUUCCUUAAGUCUGAUGUGAAAGCCCACGGCUCAACCGUGGAGGGUCAUUGAAACUGGGGGAUUUGAGUGCAAAGAGGAGAGCGGAAUUCCACGUGUAGCGGUGAAAUGCGUA
rnacentral:rRNA from 1 species